rnacentral:lncRNA from 1 species
GCCUUCAAAGGCUCUAUAAUGUACACUUCGCUAAUGAAAUGAAAAAAGAAAUUUUUUAUUACCUUGUCUAUUCUUGUAUUAAGUUGUCGUUUACCGAAUUUCUUUUAUCUUUUGUCUUGUUCGAUGUCAACAUUGUUUGAAGAUUUCUGAUCGUCGCCGUGUUGAUUCAUCCUUUUUGUUCAUGAUCGUAGGCCUUUUCGAAGCCAUUUGAGUUUGUUGUUUCCUCCCGGU